CAGUUACUACGCGUCUCCAAGGCUACAGGAAACCAGGAUUGAAGGACACAGGCCUCUCACCCAGCCUGAAGUGUGCCUUCUGUGUUAACCUGCACUGUGAUAUAUAGGAUUUGCUGAGAAGAGACCCACC